rnacentral:lncRNA from 1 species
GGUUUAAAGCCACUUCUGGAACUCUGACGCUCUGCACCCUUUCCCAGAGAGAGAACAUCCCUGACCCGGGAUUCUGGUCCCCUGAGUCACCCGUGUGCCCUGACGAGUGCCCCUGGCACCCAGGAAAGACCCUGCUCACCAGGGCUGUUGAUGUACAUGUGGAUGGGCUUCUUGUUGCUCUCGGAUUGCAGGAAGAGGAGCUGUGCGAUAACAAGGCUGGCAACGCUGUCAUCGAUCUGCAGGUGGAGAGGGCAGGGGUGUCCCCAGAUUCGGGGUGGGGAGAGAGUUUUAAGGGAGGCUG